AUACAGGACGUCGCCGGCGCUAUCCGCACCCUGAGGCAGGCGCAGCGGCCCCCGAGCGCUCCGAAGCGACACGUAUACCGGUGCCCGGAGUGCUCGGAGGAGAUCCAGGACUUCCGCCGACACUUCACUCGUCACUUCCCGAGGACGUUGGCUGAGUUCCUGCGGGCUGACGCAAACAAGGAGGUCGUCGCUCGGCCUGCUGCAUUCUAAUCAGUACAAUCGGUAUCUCUACCUAAUUUUGUGCAAUUUUACAAUGCUGUGAUAUGCACUGUGAUAUAGAAUAAACGUUUUUUUAUCCUUG